AAAAGGAAGACAUCAACCUCCCUAGUGCUUUUCUAGAGGAAGUCUUAAAAGUCUCAGGUCUCCUGCCAACCACUGUUGCCCCAACAACCACCACCACCACUGUGGCUUCCACUACGGCAAUUAAAACUGCAGGUCCUCCAACAACAACCACAAUUGUACUUCCUACAACGACAACUGCAACUUUGACCUCAACUUCUAUGUCUUCAGUGACAUCAACAACUAGAUUUGGCACAGUGAUGUUUUUUGUUAGACUGAUGUUCCAGCUCAACACACCAGUCCCCACUAAGGAUGAUGUCC